rnacentral:rRNA from 1 species
CCUACGGGUGGCAGCAGUGGGGAAUAUUGCACAAUGGGGGGAACCCUGAUGCAGCGACGCCGCGUGAGCGAAGAAGUAUUUCGGUAUGUAAAGCUCUAUCAGCAGGGAAGAAAAUGACGGUACCUGACUAAGAAGCCCCGGCUAACUACGUGCCAGCAGCCGCGGUAAUACGUAGGGGGCAAGCGUUAUCCGGAUUUACUGGGUGUAAAGGGAGCGUAGACGGCACUGCAAGCCCGGAGUGAAAGCCCAGGGCUUAACCCUAGGACUGCCUUGGAAACUGUGGUGCUAGAGUGCGGGAGGGGCAGGCGGAAUUCCUAGUGUAGCGGUGAAAUGCGUAGAUAUUAGGAGGAACACCAGCGGCGAAGGCGGCCUGCUGGACCGUGACUGACGUUGAGGCUCGAAAGCGUGGGGAGCAAACAGGAUUAGAUACCCGAGUAGUC